CGUUUUAGAAACAUCAGUGGCCAACAGAUCGCCAGAUCGUUGAGCUGCAUUGGCGGGAUUUCGCCGUCUUCGUUUCUCUUUCUUCGCGGACGAACACGCGCUGGGCCUGCAACGGCAGGAUCCAGGGUCCUUAACGGGAUGUGCGUUAGGGGCUUGUAGCUCAGUUGGUUAGAGCGCGCGCUUGAUAAGCGUGAGGUCGGAAGUUCAAGUCUUCCCAGGCCCACCACUUUCAUCGAGUGAGCAUUCGUCUUCUGGUUACGGGGCCAUAGCUCAGCUGGGAGAGCGCGUGCUUUGCAAGCAUGAGGUCGUCGGUUCGAUCCCGUCUGGCUCCACCAGAUGGUUUGAUCACCGAGAUCUUGACCGUCGUCCGCGAAACAUCACUUCGCAUCCUGCUAGUCUGGAUAGACAGCAGUUUGCGUGUUUUCUGACAUCGUAAAGAGGAGAUCGAUCCGAGUUGGGUCGUGCAGCAUAUCGUUGCGCGAGCCUUCAUUAUCUCCGGAUCAUUUCGGCGCUCGCUUCCAGCCGUGAGGUUGGAUGCGGGUUGUAAAUGAUCCUUUUAGCGAAGCUUGACCGCCUCGCUAUCGGAACGAUCUUACGAAGCAAGCUGGUCUUUCUAGUCAAUGUCCGGCUGCGGAUAGCGUUCAUCGAGGGCGCGUGCCGCAAGGCAAUUCUGCAGACAACAUUCUGCCGAGUGUGUGGACAUUGAUAAUGAGAGCAAUCAAGUGCCUUAAGGGUGUUCGGUGGAUGCCUUGGCGCUGAGAGGCGAUGAAGGACGUGCUACGCUGCGAUAAGCCGUGGGGAGCUGCGAAGAAGCUUUGAUCCGC
rnacentral:misc_RNA from 1 species